GUCAAUGUAGUUUAAAAUAAAACAUUAGAUUGUGAAUCUAAAAAUAGAGACUUACCCCUCUCAUUUACC
rnacentral:tRNA from 1 species